rnacentral:rRNA from 1 species
AUAUUGGACAAUGGGGGCAACCCUGAUCCAGCCAUGCCGCGUGUGUGAAGAAGGUCUUCGUCUUGUAAAUCACUUUAAGUUGGGAGGAAGGGCUUUAGGUUAAUACCCUGAAGUUUUGACGUUACCAAAAGAAUAAGCACAGGCUAACUCCGUGCCAGCAGCCGCGGUAAUACAGAGGGUGCAAGCGUUAAUCGGAAUUACUGGGCGUAAAACGCGCGUAGGUUGUUCAGUAAGUUGGGUGUGAAAUCCCCGGGUUUAACUUGGGAACUGCUUUCAUAACUGUUGGGCUAGAGUACGGUAGAGGGUAGUGGAAUUUCCUGUGUAGCGGUGAAAUGCGUAGAUAUAGGAAAGAACACCAGUGACGAAGGCGACUACCUGGACUGAUACUGACACUGAGGUGCGAAAGCGUGGGGAGCAAAC